rnacentral:rRNA from 1 species
GGCUUACCAUGCAAGUCGAGGGGUAACAGAUCUUCGGAUGCUGACGACCGGCGAACGGGUGAGUAACACGUAUGCAACUUACCCAUAACUCGGGAAUAGCCCAAAGAAAUUUGGAUUAAUACCCAAUAAUACAGGCGUACCGCAUGGUAUUCUUCGUUAAAGAAUAAUCGGUUAUGGAUAGGCAUGCGUUCUAUUAGGUAGUUGGUGAGGUAACGGCUCACCAAGCCGACGAUGGAUAGGGGAACUGAGAGGUUGUCCCCCCACACUGGUACUGAGACACGGACCAGACUCCUACGGGAGGCAGCAGUGAGGAAUAUUGGUCAAUGGACGAAAGUCUGAACCAGCCAAAUCGCGUGAAGGAAGAAGGUAUUAUGUAUCGUAAACUUCUUUUGUAAGAGAGUAAAGUGCACUACGUGUAGUGUAUUGCAAGUACCUUACGAAUAAGCAUCGGCUAAUUCCGUGCCAGCAGCCGCGGUAAUACGGAAGAUGCAAGUGUUAUCCGGAUUUAUUGGGUUUAAAGGGUGCGUAGGUGGUCUAAUAAGUCAGUGGUGAAAUCUCUUUGCUUAACAAGGAAAUUGCCAUUGAAACUGUUAGACUUGAGAAUGGACGAGGUAGGCGGAAUUCGUAGUGUAGCGGUGAAAUGCAUAGAUAUUACGAAGAACUCCAAUAGUGUAGACUGCUUACCAGACCAUAUCUGACACUAAGGCACGAAAGUGUGGGUAUCAGACAGGAUUAGAUACCCUGGUAGUCCACACAGGAAACGAUGAAUACUAACUGUUUGCGAUAUACAGCAAGUGGUCGAGCGAAAGCGUUAAGUAUUCCACCUGGGAAGUAUGCCGGCAACGUGAAACUCAAGGAAUUGACGGGGGCCCGCACAAGCGGAGGAACAUGUGGUUUAAUUCGAUUAUACGCGAGGGAACUUUACCGGGCUCGAACGGAUAUUUGAUACAUCCGAAAAGAUGUAGCUAGCAAUAUCAAAUACCGAGGUGCUGCAUGGUGUCGU